GAGCUGGUUCUUUUAGUAAAUGGCCAAUGAGAUCACAAAGAAGUUCACUAGGAAACAGAUUUUCCCACAUGCUCAGUGCUCACCACCUAGGGGCGCAGUUCAGUGUUUGGUGUGCUCCCAAAUCACCGGCAGAGCACGGAAGAGUGAUUCUGAUUCUGUUGUUCUCAGUCCAGCAUCUGCAUUUUAAACAAGCCCCUAGUCCAUCAAGUUUUGUUGGUCUGUGCACAAUGCCUAAGAAAUGUCUCCAUCCCUUUCCUGGAACCAGAGCAGAAUCAAUGCAAAAGGAAUCUUUUCCUUCCCCGGGACCCCGUGAGUCCUGUGUGGAACCUGGAAAUAGUAAUGGCAUCUAUGUCAAAGUGUGGCUGUGAGGAUUGGACUACAUAAUGCAUGUAAAGACUCAAAACUUUGCCUGGCCUCUCAAAGGCUCUUAACAAGUGUUAUCUAUUAUUAUUAUGCAGACGUUUAUACAUAUGAUUCCUGAGGUACCAACAAGCCACUAACAUCUUCCAACCCUACAAUGCAAGAAGGCCGACAAGAAGGUGGUGGGACAGCCCCUGGCUGGCACAGGCAGUGAACUUCUUCCAGACAUCAAGGGUUCCGCCAAAGAAACUUCUCUGCUUUCAAGGAUUCAUAGGAUUAGAUUGGGGUCAUGCAGAUAAUCCAGGAUGAUCCCCCUACCUUAAGUUAUUAAAAGAAAUAGAAGAUCUGAUCCACAGAAACACUGUGAUUGUCGCAGGGAAGCGUAUCCUAGAGGGCAUGCAGGCUAUUGAUAUUCUCUCCUCAAGCCGGAAACUCUCUGGAGAUCCACGAGAAACACAGAAUCACAACAAAGACUGGAAAACAAAUGGAUGGAAUCAGAGACGGUUGCAGACACGUAAAUAGCUUUUCACGCUG